rnacentral:tRNA from 1 species
CGGGGCGUAGCUCAGUUGGCUAGAGCGCCUGGUUUGGGACCAGGAGGUCGCAGGUUCAAGCCCUGUCACCCCGACCA